UACGGAGGGGGCCAGCGUUGUUCGGAAUUAUUGGGCGUAAAGGGCGCGUAGGCGGCCGAAUAAGUCUGAUGUGAAAUCCCACGGCUCAACCGGGGAACGACGCAUGAAACUGGCAAGCUAGAGUACCAAAGAGGGGGGUGGAAUUCCCGGUGUAGCGGUGAAAUGCGUAGAUAUCGAGAGGAACACCUGCGGCGAAGGCGGGUUGCUGGGCUGACACUGACGCUGAUGCGCGAAAGCUAGGGGAGCGAACGGG
rnacentral:rRNA from 1 species